rnacentral:rRNA from 1 species
AUUGAACGCUGGCGGCAGGCCUAACACAUGCAAGUCGAACGAGUGGCGGACGGGUGCGUAAUGUCUGGGAAACUGCCUGAUGGAGGGGGAUAACUACUGGAAACGGUAGCUAAUACCGCAUACCAUCGGAUGUGCCCCGAUGGGAUUAGCUUGUUGGUGGGGUAACGGCUCACCAAGGCGACGAUCCCUAGCUGGUCUGAUAGGAUGACCAGCCAAACUGGAACUGAGACACGGUCCAGACUGCUACGGGAGGCAGCAGUGGGGAAUAUUGCACAAGGGGUGCAAGACUGAUGCAGCAAUGCCGCGGGUAUGAAGAAGGCCUUAGGGUUGUAAAGUACUGUCAGCGGGGAGGCGUUACCCGCAGAAGAAGCACCGGCUAACUCCGUGCCAGCAGACGCGGUAAUAC